AAAAGUAAAUAUAUAUCUAGAAUGAGACAUUUAGCGGCAACUUUUUUCAUAAACCACUGCAUUUCAAAAUUCAAAAACUCAGAUCUCUCUCCAUCGUUCUCUUUGCCUGCCGGCACCGAAGCUCAGCACCGUCACCAGAGUAAACGCAAAAACUUUGCUCGCAAUGCAAACAGCGGAACCGCCGUUAGAGACUUUUCAUCUGCUUCCGAAAACCGAAGCUCGAUCCCUACGCAGUUACUUAGCAAAGAUGGCUGUCGUGGCUUAUGGCCGUCACCGGGGAAGCAAUCAGGGAUCGGGCUCAUCACCGUCGAGCAGCAGAGAUGAAGAAUAACAAUCCAGAAGUGAUGAUGGCUGUUGAUGCAGCAGCGAGGAGAAAGAACAGCGGCAGCGGCGAGUGGUGUUCCUGCCAACAGUGAAGAAGGAGUAGCUAGAAGCAUGUUGAUGACACGGUGAAGAGAACGAGAGCUCUGAGAUCCUACCAUCGAC
rnacentral:lncRNA from 1 species